rnacentral:rRNA from 1 species
GAUGAACGCUGGCGGCGUGCCUAAUACAUGCAAGUCGAGCGAACGGACGAGAAGCUUGCUUUUCUGAUGUUAGCGGCGGACGGGUGAGUAACACGUGGAUAACCUACCUAUAAGACUGGGAUAACUUCGGGAAACCGGAGCUAAUACCGGAUAAUAUUUUGCACCGCAUGGUUCAAAAGUGAAAGACGGUCUUGCUGUCACUUAUAGAUGGAUCCGCGCUGCAUUAGCUAGUUGGUAAGGUAACGGCUUACCAAGGCAACGAUGCAUAGCCGACCUGAGAGGGUGAUCGGCCACACGAGAACGGAGACACGGACCAGACGCCUGAGGGAGGGAGCAGAAGGGAAUCGGCCGCAAUGGGCGAAAGCCUGACGGAGCAACGCCGCGUGAGUGAUGAAGGUCUUCGGAUCGUAAAACUCUGUUAUGAGGGAAGAACAUAUGUGUAAGGAACUGUGCACAACUUGACGGUACCUAAUCAGAAAGCCACGGCUAACUACGUG